GUUACGGGGAUAUUAGAAGUAGAACAAUGCUGACAAGGCAUCAGACCGUGGCCUACAUUGCUGCCCCGGUCCAAGUCCCCGCCCACCUGGAGGCAGAGGCUCGGGGCUUAAUAUGUCCCGAGUCAAUGCUCGUCCCUCUGCGGGAGAUGGCAGAGGUCGAGGAGACGACGCUGCUGACUGUUCAGGGCUGGGUCAAAGAACUAGGUGCGUUCCACCCGCAAACAGCGGCCGGUGGCACGCCAGUGCCUCGAAGGGCCGUGGUGCUAAAAGAUGUAAGGAAUUGAUCAUAGAGUGUGCUCAGUAGUCACUUUGUUAAAUUACUCAUUUUGAUAGCUCCUUUUAUACAAUUGCAUAUCUUUUCAGCAGGUGAAGUAAAAGUUCAAAUCAGUGUCGGCCUUAAAUAAGCACUGCUUACGUAGCCUGUUUUAUUGUGGUAAGGGGAUACAGAGGUGGAAUUGCUACUCUGGAGGGAGGCCAACCUCACACCGUUAGAGGUUGGCCUCCUUAUAAGAGUGACCCAUCUGCGGGCGAAAAGGAGCAACUGGGGACUGAGCCUCCACUCGUCAGGGCACACUUCAGUGGAAGUUAUAAAUGGAGACAAGGAGGUCCAGGUCGUGGGGUACAGGACCCUCCCAGACGGUGACAUGGAGGUCCUGGACCCCAUGGACAACGAACAUGUCGUUCCAAGGGCCAUGUGGGAUGCAGUGAUUGGAGAGACCGUCCCAGCCAUACCUUUCAAUUUAUUAUUUACUUUUGAAAGGGCAAAAUUACUCCUAAUUAAUUUAAGAGAGGAGUAGUCAUCGCCCCCCCCACCCCCCCCGUUCGAGUUUUGUUAUUGGUUAAGGACAUUAAAUCAUUAUUUCAGUUUGUCGUUGUUGUCCCAUCAUCAUUUUUACUUUCAAAUGACGUCACCGCAGCACGAAUACUCAUGACAGCCC